AAGCCUAGUCCAAUAGCCCAAAAUUUUCCCAUCCCACUCCCACCAAACGAGAGAAACGACCCCUUAUCUCUUCAGACUCUUCUCCUCCGGUAAGUCAUAAACCUAGUAGUCCACAUCCUAUAUUGCCGUGAUUCCCGUCGUUGGCACCGUGCCACCGCCGGUUGCCGGUUGCCUGUUGCCUACUCAUCUGCCGGUCACACUCCCAUAAGUUAUUUGAGAGCAUUUGGUUAUUUGCACAAAUGUUCGGCCCAAGUAGUGCUGGAAGUAUUGAAUUAGGACCAAUACCCCGAGGAUGAUAGCACGGCGGUGAGCAAUGUCCCAGAAGAAGAUCGAGUUGAACCAUUACCAAAUGCGGAUGAAAGGCCAAUAAACCUAAAUGAAGAGGAGCGUGAUAUUGGAGAACUACCUUUCGGAAAGAGGAAAUUGACUUCAGCUGUUUGGGAGCACUACAAAAAACAAAAAAAAUUGGUGAGUAAUUGAGAGCUACAUGCAAUCAUUGCAAAGAACAGUUAGGGGUUACACAAAAAAUGGUACAAAGCAUUUGCAUGAUCAUUUGGACAAAUGUGUAUUCCGUCAUCAAAAUAAUUCUCACCAAACAACGUUAAAUUUCAAAAAGGAUGCCGUGAGUGGCAAGGUCACAAUGGGUAUUUACUCUUUUGAUCCAGAUAAGUGUAGGAAUAGUAUCGCGAAAAUGGUGAUUUUGCAUGAGUAUUCUUUGUCUAUGGUUGAUCACAUUGGAUUUCGAGAGUUCUUGCAUGACCUGCGACCAUUGUUUAAGGUUCCUUCUCGCAACACUUUGAAGAGCAAUAUUUUGAAGAUCUAUGAAGAUGAGAAAGUAAAAAAAAUGAUCAUACUUGAGAAGAACGAGAGUCGAAUUUCAAUCACUAUCGACAUGUGGACCUCUUCUAAUCAAAAGAAAGGAUUCAUGGUUAUCACUGCUCAAUUCAUAGAUGAUGCUUGGAAACUACAGAGUCGAAUCAUGAGGUACAGUAAAAAAUUACAUUCGCUUGUUUUCAUAAUUUACCGAAAUUAUAUUCUUUUAGUUGAUUACCAUUGUUCUUGAAUGAACUCGAGUUUAUAUAUGUGCCUUGCCCACACACCGCUGACGUGCUUUCAGAAACUCUAUUGUGCAGCUUACUGGACAGGAAUAUUGAUCCCUAUAUUGCCUUGGUCGGAUGAUUUUGAUGUAUUGACAUGGUGGAAUUGGACUUUAUCUCAAAUUGCAAAAGAUAUUUUGGCCAUCCUUGUAUCUACAGUGGCGUCCGAAUAUGCUUUCAGCGCUAGUGGUAGAUUUGUUAGUCCACACAAAAAUAUGUUUCACCUCAAAACUUUGGAGGCUUUAAUGUGUAUUCAAGACUGGUUAUGGACCGAUAUUCACGCGAAUUCUGCGCCGUCGCGUAUUUUGGAUGUUGCUCCAAGAUGAAUGAUAAGGAUGUUAAUGAGGAGGAUCAAUCUUGUGUAAUCUCUGGCAUUGCCGAUGAAUGAAGUUAUGAAGAUAGAAAAAUAUCAAAUUUCGGAUAAUGAAAUGAAAUUUAGUUACAAUGUAACUCUAUUUGCAAUUGUUUAUUUUUGGACAUUGUUUGUUUCGAGUGUUUACUUUG